rnacentral:rRNA from 1 species
CCUACGGGAGGCAGCAGUGAGGAAUAUUGGUCAAUGGGCGAGAGCCUGAACCAGCCAAGUCGCGUGAGGGAGUACUGCCCUAUGGGUUGUAAACCUCUUUUGUCGGGGAGCAAAAGCCGGACGUGUCCGGCUGUGAGAGUACCCGAAGAAAAAGCAUCGGCUAACUCCGUGCCAGCAGCCGCGGUAAUACGGAGGAUGCGAGCGUUAUCCGGAGUGACUGGGUGUAAAGAGUUGCGUAGGUGGCAUAAUAAGUAGCUAGUGAAAUCUGGUGGCUCAACCAUUCAGACUAUUAGCUAAACUGUUAAGCUCGAGACCGUUAGGGGUAACUGGAAUUUCUAGUGUAGGAGUGAAAUCCGUAGAUAUUAGAAGGAACACCAAUAGCGUAGGCAGGUUGCUGGGACGGUUCUGACACUAAGGCACGAAAGCGUAGGGAGCAAACGGGAUUAGAUACCCGGGUAGUC